CACCAGGUUGAUUCUGCCUGACGUAGAGGCUACGCUCGAAGAUUAAGCCAUGCAUGUCCGCAAUUGACAGCGACAGACGGCUCAGUAAUGCUGCGAUGAUUUGAACUUGUUGGGAGGAUAACUAAUGAAACCAUUAGCUAAGAGAGGAGUUUAAGACGCAGGCCCAUCAGUUAGUUGGUAGUGUAAUGGACUACCAAGACGAUGACGGGUGACGGGAAAUUAGGGUUUUAUUCCGGAGAGGGAGCCUGAGAGAUGGCUCCCACGUCCAAGGACGGCAGCAGGCGCGAAAAUUGCCCACUCUUUUUAGAGGAGGCAGUUACGAGAGGUGAAGCAAGGAUGUACUUUAAAAGGGUGUAUGUGAUGCGAUUGGAGGGCAAGUUUGGUGCCAGCAGCCGCGGUAAUACCGACUCCAAGAGUUUCUAUGGUGGAUGCUGCAGUUAAAAAGUCCGUAGUUUUGUGGCGACGAAAGGAUUUGUUACAAGCGAGUCUAGAUUGCCUUUAGUGGGGGAACAGAUAGGGUAGAUGGUAUACGCGGGCGAGAGAUGAAAUUCCAAGACCCCGGGUGGACGGACGGAGGCGAAGGCGAUCUACUUAUAUGAAUCUUACGAUCAAGGACGAAGGUUAGAAUAUCGAAAGUGAUUAGAUACCGCUGUAGUUCUAACAGUAAACAGUGCCGACUUGCCUGGAUGUGAGAGUGUGGGCAGAGAGAAAUCUAAGUGUACGGGCUCUGGGGAUAGUAUGCUCGCAAGGGUGAAAAUUAAAGAAAUUGACGGAGCUACACUACAAGGAGUGGAUUGUGCGGCUUAAUUUGACUCAACGCGGGAAAGCUUACCAGGCCAAGUUGUGUAGAGAAUGGAUACAUGAAUGCGACAGGGAG
rnacentral:rRNA from 1 species